CCUCUCACUGCGGGGGAAGGUUAGGUAGCUCCCUCCUUUCCUCACGGGCCAACUGGGCAGUGAUGAGUCUCUCUAGCAUUUCAAACAAUCGGUUAACAUCCUCUCAAAGCGAACCCUCCCGAGCUGCUCGGUUUAGUGGGGGUCUUCCUCUCCUCAUCUAUCUGUACCUGCAUUUCACAAAAAAUGGUUGAGUGAUAAUUCAUUCUUUGAAGUUUUCUAGGGUUUUUGUUUAAGGAAUGGUUCCGAGGAACGUGGCUCUGAUACCAACUAUAAUAGCCCGAAACUUGAAAGGAAGUAAAUUAUAAAAUUAAGUGCAGAAGCGAAGUUAGGGUUUACAUUCUUUACACAAUAAUUC
rnacentral:lncRNA from 1 species